UCUCCAGACCUGCACUUUGGAGUCUGAGCUGACAUGUAAGAAGUCCAACUACCCUGAAACUGCCCUACUGGAGAGACCAGAUAGAGAGACACAUGGAGAGAGAGGUUAGAGGAGCCCUCAGAUCUUGAAUCUUCCCAGCAUCGACAAGCAAGCCUGUGAGUGGGUGAGCUAUAUUAGUGGACAUUUAUACUUUGGGAAACGGAUCCAGGAGAAAGAAGACUGAUGUGUUGAAAGAAGGUACUUCUAUGUAUGUUCCAUGGAGUCAAGGACAUUGGUUACUGCUGGAUCCCCAACUCUUACAACAGUGUCUGGCACACAGCAGGAGAAAUCAUUUUAAAACAGUAAGAACGAGAACCAGAAAUAUAAACUCCACUUUUGAUGAAAUUAAGAGCCAUCUAUAACCCAUAUCAUAAUCAUGCAAGUAGAAGAAGAGAAAUGAUGAGGCAGAGGAGAAACAUGAGUACCUAAAGAAAGAGUACCAAUGAGAAGCAAGAUAUUGCUAAGCAGAACUCCUAAGCCACUCAGAAACUGGAGGCACCCAGAAACACAGAAGAGAGAAUAAGGUGUGGGGCUAAAACAGAAAGAUUGGUUGAAAGCCAAUGGAAACCUUUAAACCUACGGUGAUCCCUUCCUCAGGCAAGCGAACAGGUGACAGCACUUUCCCCAUCUCCAAGAAGUUUAGUCUCUGGAGAAAGUGAACCAGAGAGACUCCAAAUCCCAGGCACCACCAGGAAGGAGUGGAUGAAAUGCAGACCCCAAACCAGGAGCUAAAACAAAGUCUGCACGUUGAACCAUAGUGAGAACCUUGGCCCCUUUUGCUUGAAUGGCUACCAGAAUGCUUACUACCUGAUUUAUAACCCCAGGCAGGGGGGUGAUGGCUUGACCAAGUGUCUAACUUGGGAUAUUAAAGGUAAGGGUGGGGAGCACGAGCUCUUCAAUAGAAAUGUCAUUUGCGAGAAAGACAAGAGUCUGUACAACUUCCCCCAUGAAGCUUCAGGUGCAGCAGGAGGAGCCGCUUUCCUUGCAUGAUGAGAAGUUACUAGAAGUGAGAGCCUCCACUGACUGGUGGCUUCAGAGCUAUCUCAACUCCAUUGAGCAAACUUCUAGAGGAGUGGGUUUAUCCUCUGGGACAACUGUCAACACAGACAAAACUGGCCUUUACAGGAAAAAAUGACUUCUUAAAAGUUCCUGUAUCAAUAAAGGAAAAUGAGGCUCACUUUGAUCAUAGGAUAAAGUACUGAAAGCCUCAAAGCCCCUCCAUGGUUUGACCCUGCAGCCCACCUCAUUCCAGGGACCCUCACAGACUCCAACACUAGCCAGGUGGAGAUCCUCUUAGCAACCCCCACAUGCCAAGCUCUCCCCUGCCUCCCAGCUUUCAUCAGCUCUUCUCUGUCCCUGCAACCCUCUCUCUACCCCCAGCUCCUACUUGCUCCAAAUGGUCCAGAAGCAAAGAUGCACUGCUUCCUCCAUGAUAAGAUGUAGAGAAAGUUUAGGCAAUGGUUCUUAGAAAACAGAACUUUGCGCGUCUAACUUCUGCACAUCUUUCAGGUCUCACCCACUGAGAAGCUUUCACUGUCCUCUCUCCC